AUCCAGCUGACGAGUCCCAAAUUGGAAGAAACGCAUGUCUUGGAU
rfam:Schistosoma curassoni strain Dakar, Senegal genome assembly, scaffold: SCTD_contig0013184